GGGUUGUGAGGUUAAGCGACUAAGCGUACACGGUGGAUGCCCUGGCAGUCAGAGGCGAUGAAGGACGUGCUAAUCUGCGAUAAGCGUCGGUAAGGUGAUAUGAACCGUUAUAACCGGCGAUUUCCGAAUGGGGAAACCCAGUGUGUUUCGACACACUAUCAUUAACUGAAUCCAUAGGUUAAUGAGGCGAACCGGGGGAACUGAAACAUCUAAGUACCCCGAGGAAAAGAAAUCAACCGAGAUUCCCCCAGUAGCGGCGAGCGAACGGGGAGCAGCCCAGAGCCUGAAUCAGUAUGUGUGUUAGUGGAAGCGUCUGGAAAGGCGCGCGAUACAGGGUGACAGCCCCGUACACAAAAAUGCACAUAUUGUGAGCUCGAUGAGUAGGGCGGGACACGUGGUAUCCUGUCUGAAUAUGGGGGGACCAUCCUCCAAGGCUAAAUACUCCUGACUGACCGAUAGUGAACCAGUACCGUGAGGGAAAGGCGAAAAGAACCCCGGCGAGGGGAGUGAAAAAGAACCUGAAACCGUGUACGUACAAGCAGUGGGAGCACGCUUAGGCGUGUGACUGCGUACCUUUUGUAUAAUGGGUCAGCGACUUAUAUUCUGUAGCAAGGUUAACCGAAUAGGGGAGCCGAAGGGAAACCGAGUCUUAACUGGGCGUUAAGUUGCAGGGUAUAGACCCGAAACCCGGUGAUCUAGCCAUGGGCAGGUUGAAGGUUGGGUAACACUAACUGGAGGACCGAACCGACUAAUGUUGAAAAAUUAGCGGAUGACUUGUGGCUGGGGGUGAAAGGCCAAUCAAACCGGGAGAUAGCUGGUUCUCCCCGAAAGCUAUUUAGGUAGCGCCUCGUGAAUUCAUCUCCGGGGGUAGAGCACUGUUUCGGCAAGGGGGUCAUCCCGACUUACCAACCCGAUGCAAACUGCGAAUACCGGAGAAUGUUAUCACGGGAGACACACGGCGGGUGCUAACGUCCGUCGUGAAGAGGGAAACAACCCAGACCGCCAGCUAAGGUCCCAAAGUCAUGGUUAAGUGGGAAACGAUGUGGGAAGGCCCAGACAGCCAGGAUGUUGGCUUAGAAGCAGCCAUCAUUUAAAGAAAGCGUAAUAGCUCACUGGUCGAGUCGGCCUGCGCGGAAGAUGUAACGGGGCUAAACCAUGCACCGAAGCUGCGGCAGCGACACUAUGUGUUGUUGGGUAGGGGAGCGUUCUGUAAGCCUGUGAAGGUGUGCUGUGAGGCAUGCUGGAGGUAUCAGAAGUGCGAAUGCUGACAUAAGUAACGAUAAAGCGGGUGAAAAGCCCGCUCGCCGGAAGACCAAGGGUUCCUGUCCAACGUUAAUCGGGGCAGGGUGAGUCGACCCCUAAGGCGAGGCCGAAAGGCGUAGUCGAUGGGAAACAGGUUAAUAUUCCUGUACUUGGUGUUACUGCGAAGGGGGGACGGAGAAGGCUAUGUUGGCCGGGCGACGGUUGUCCCGGUUUAAGCGUGUAGGCUGGUUUUCCAGGCAAAUCCGGAAAAUCAAGGCUGAGGCGUGAUGACGAGGCACUACGGUGCUGAAGCAACAAAUGCCCUGCUUCCAGGAAAAGCCUCUAAGCAUCAGGUAACAUCAAAUCGUACCCCAAACCGACACAGGUGGUCAGGUAGAGAAUACCAAGGCGCUUGAGAGAACUCGGGUGAAGGAACUAGGCAAAAUGGUGCCGUAACUUCGGGAGAAGGCACGCUGAUAUGUAGGUGAAGUCCCUCGCGGAUGGAGCUGAAAUCAGUCGAAGAUACCAGCUGGCUGCAACUGUUUAUUAAAAACACAGCACUGUGCAAACACGAAAGUGGACGUAUACGGUGUGACGCCUGCCCGGUGCCGGAAGGUUAAUUGAUGGGGUUAGCCGCAAGGCGAAGCUCUUGAUCGAAGCCCCGGUAAACGGCGGCCGUAACUAUAACGGUCCUAAGGUAGCGAAAUUCCUUGUCGGGUAAGUUCCGACCUGCACGAAUGGCGUAAUGAUGGCCAGGCUGUCUCCACCCGAGACUCAGUGAAAUUGAACUCGCUGUGAAGAUGCAGUGUACCCGCGGCAAGACGGAAAGACCCCGUGAACCUUUACUAUAGCUUGACACUGAACAUUGAGCCUUGAUGUGUAGGAUAGGUGGGAGGCUUUGAAGUGUGGACGCCAGUCUGCAUGGAGCCGACCUUGAAAUACCACCCUUUAAUGUUUGAUGUUCUAACGUUGACCCGUAAUCCGGGUUGCGGACAGUGUCUGGUGGGUAGUUUGACUGGGGCGGUCUCCUCCUAAAGAGUAACGGAGGAGCACGAAGGUUGGCUAAUCCUGGUCGGACAUCAGGAGGUUAGUGCAAUGGCAUAAGCCAGCUUGACUGCGAGCGUGACGGCGCGAGCAGGUGCGAAAGCAGGUCAUAGUGAUCCGGUGGUUCUGAAUGGAAGGGCCAUCGCUCAACGGAUAAAAGGUACUCCGGGGAUAACAGGCUGAUACCGCCCAAGAGUUCAUAUCGACGGCGGUGUUUGGCACCUCGAUGUCGGCUCAUCACAUCCUGGGGCUGAAGUAGGUCCCAAGGGUAUGGCUGUUCGCCAUUUAAAGUGGUACGCGAGCUGGGUUUAGAACGUCGUGAGACAGUUCGGUCCCUAUCUGCCGUGGGCGCUGGAGAACUGAGGGGGGCUGCUCCUAGUACGAGAGGACCGGAGUGGACGCAUCACUGGUGUUCGGGUUGUCAUGCCAAUGGCACUGCCCGGUAGCUAAAUGCGGAAGAGAUAAGUGCUGAAAGCAUCUAAGCACGAAACUUGCCCCGAGAUGAGUUCUCCCUGAC
rnacentral:rRNA from 1 species